rnacentral:rRNA from 1 species
CAAUAGCGUAUAUUAAAGUUGUUGCGGUUAAAAAGCUCGUAGUUGGAUUUCUGUUGGGAACGACCGGUCCGCCCAUUGGGUGUGUAUCUGGCUUGUUCUCGGCAUCUUCUUGGUGAACGUUGCUGCACUUGACUGUGUGGAGCGCUACCCAGGACUUUUACUUUGAGGAAAUUAGAGUGUUUCAAGCAGGCAUAUGCCUUGAAUACAUUAGCAUGGAAUAAUAAGAUAGGACCUCGGUUCUAUUUUGUUGGUUUCUAGAGCUGAGGUAAUGAUUAAUAGGGAUAGUUGGGGGCAUUCGUAUUUAACUGUCAGAGGUGGAAUUCUUGGAUUUGUUAAAGACGGACUACUGCGAAAGCAUUUGCCAAGGAUGUUUUCAUUG